rnacentral:rRNA from 1 species
AGAGUUUGAUCAUGGCUCAGGACGAACGCUGGCGGCGUGCUUAACACAUGCAAGUUGAACGGUGACGCGAGAGCUUGCUCUCGCCGAUCAGUGGCGAACGGGUGAGUAACACGUGAGCAACCUGCCCUUGACUUCGGAAUAACAGCUGGAAACAGCUGCUAAUACCGAAUACGACUCACCGCGACAUCGCGGAGAGUGGAAAGCUCCGGCGGUCAGGGAUGGGCUCGCGGCCUAUCAGCUAGUUGGUGAGGUAACGGCUCACCAAGGCUUCGACGGGUAGCCGGCCUGAGAGGGCGACCGGCCACACUGGGACUGAGAUACGGCCCAGACUCCUACGGGAGGCAGCAGUGGGGAAUAUUGCACAAUGGGCGCAAGCCUGAUGCAGCAACGCCGCGUGCGGGAUGACGGCCUUCGGGUUGUAAACCGCUUUCAGUGCCGACGAAGCGCAAGUGACGGUAGGCACAGAAGAAGGACCGGCCAACUACGUGCCAGCAGCCGCGGUGAUACGUAGGGUCCAAGCGUUGUCCGGAAUUAUUGGGCGUAAAGGGCUUGUAGGCGGUUUGUCGCGUCGGAAGUGAAAACUCAGGGCUCAACCCUGAGCCUGCUUCCGAUACGGGCAAACUAGAGGGAUGCAGGGGAGAACGGAAUUCCUGGUGGAGCGGUGGAAUGCGCAGAUAUCAGGAGGAACACCGGUGGCGAAGGCGGUUCUCUGGGCAUCACCUGACGCUGAGAAGCGAAAGCGUGGGGAGCAAACAGGCUUAGAUACCCUGGUAGUCCACGCCGUAAACGGUGGGCACUAGGUGUGGGGGACAUUCCACGUUCUCCGUGCCGAAGCUAACGCAUUAAGUGCCCCGCCUGGGGAGUACGGCCGCAAGGCUAAAACUCAAAGGAAUUGACGGGGGCCCGCACAAGCGGCGGAGCAUGCGGAUUAAUUCGAUGCAACGCGAAGAACCUUACCUGGGUUUGACAUAUGCCGGAAAGCUGCAGAGAUGCAGCCCCCGCAAGGUCGGUAUACAGGUGGUGCAUGGCUGUCGUCAGCUCGUGUCGUGAGAUGUUGGGUUAAGUCCCGCAACGAGCGCAACCCUCGUCCUAUGUUGCCAGCGGAUAAUGCCGGGGACUCAUAGGAGACUGCCGGGGUCAACUCGGAGGAAGGUGGGGAUGACGUCAAGUCAUCAUGCCCCUUAAGUCCAGGGCUUCACGCAUGCUACAAUGGCUGGUACAAAGGGCUGCGAUACCGCAAGGUUGAGCGAAUCCUAAAAAGCCAGUCUCAGUUCGGAUUGGGGUCUGCAACUCGACCCCAUGAAGUCGGAGUCGCUAGUAAUCUCAGAUCAGCAACGCUGCGGUGAAUACGUUCCCGGGCCUUGUACACACCGCCCGUCAAGUCAUGAAAGUCGGUAACACCCGAAGCCGGUGGCCCAACCCUUGUGGAGGGAGCCGUCGAAGGUGGGACUGGCGAUUAGGACUAAGUCGUAACAAGGUAGCCGUA